UACGGGGGGAGCAAGCGUUGUUCGGAUUUCCUGGGCGUAAAGGGCGCGUAGGCGGCCAGCACAAGUCAGUUGUGAAAUCUCCGGGCUUAACUCGGAAAGGUCAACUGAUACUGUGCGGCUAGAGUGCAGAAGGGGCAACUGGAAUUCUCGGUGUAGCGGUGAAAUGCGUAGAUAUCGAGAGGAACACCUGCGGCGAAGGCGGGUUGCUGGGCUGACACUGACGCUGAUGCGCGAAAGCCAGGGGAGCGAACGGG
rnacentral:rRNA from 1 species